rnacentral:rRNA from 1 species
AGAGUUUGAUCAUGGCUCAGAACGAACGCUGGCGGCAGGCCUCAAACAUGCAAGUCUAGGGGGUGUAGCAAUACAUCACCAGCGGACGGGUGCGUAACACGUGGGAAUAUACCUUUUGGUUCGGAACAACGCAGGGAAACUUGCGCUAAUACCGAAUGUGCCCUUACGGGGAAAGAUUUAUCGCCAAAGGAUUAGCCCGCGUCCGAUUAGCUAGUUGGUGAGGUAAUGGCUCACCAAGGCUCCGAUCGGUAGCUGUUCUGAGAGGAAGAUCAGCCACACUGGGACUGAGACACGGCCCAGACUCCUACGGGAGGCAGCAGUUGGGAAUCUUGGACAAUGGGGGAAACCCUGAUCCAGCCAUGCCGCGUGAGUGAUGAAGGCCUUCGGGUUGUAAAACUCUUUCGACGGGGACGAUAAUGACGGUACCCGUAGAAGAAGCUCCGGCUAACUUCGUGCCAGCAGCCGCGGUAAUACGAAGGGGGCUAGCGUUGUUCGGAAUUACUGGGCGUAAAGCGCGCGCAGGCGGUCUUCCAAGUCAGUGGUGAAAGCCCGGAGCUCAACUCCGGAACUGCCAUUGAAACUGUAAGACUUGAGGAUGAGAGAGGUGAGUGGAAUUCCCAGUGUAGAGGUGAAAUUCGUAGAUAUUGGGAAGAACACCGGUGGCGAAGGCGGCUCACUGGCUCAUAUCUGACGCUCAGGCGCGACAGCGUGGGGAUCAAACAGGAUUAGAUACCCUAGUAGUCC